rnacentral:rRNA from 1 species
UACGUAGGGUGCAAGCGUUAAUCGGAAUUACUGGGCGUAAAGCGUGCGCAGGCGGUUCGGAAAGAAAGAUGUGAAAUCCCAGAGCUUAACCUUGGAAUGGCACUUUUAACUCCCGAGCUAGAGUAUGUCAGAGGGGGGUAGAAUUCCACGUGUAGCAGUGAAAUGCGUAGAGAUGUGGAGGAAUACCGAUGGCGAAGGCAGCCCCCUGGGAUAAUACUGACGCUCAGGCACGAAAGCGUGGGGAGCAAACAGG